UGAUAACUGGACGAACCGAUCCAGAAUUCCUGCCGGGAAGGCAAGCAAUGAACGAAUAUUUGUCCAUGGUAGCCACUCUGACACAGCCAUGCCGCGUGCAGAUGACGUCCUAUGGAUUGUAAACUGUUUGAUACAAGAAGAAACCUCCCUAAGGGGAGGGACUCGACGGUACUGUAAAGAAUAAAGAAUCCGCUAACUCCGUGCCAGCAGCCGCGGUAAUACGGAGGAUCCGAGCGUUAUCCGGAAUUAUUGGGAUUAAAAGAGGUUGUAGGGGGGCUUGUAAAGUCAAGUGGUGAAAUUUCCUAGGUUAAAUAGGACCCCGGCCAUUGAUACUGCAGAGCUUGAAUAAUAUGGAAGUAACUAGAAUAUGUAGUGUAGCGGUGAAAUGCUUAGAUAUUACAUGGAAUACCAAUUGCGAAGGCAGGUUAUUACGUAUUUAUUGACGCUGAUGAACGAAAGCGUGGGGAGCGAACAGGAUUAGAUACCCUGGUAGUCCACGCCGUAAACGAUGGAUACUAGCUGUUCGGACUUCGGUGUGAGUGGCUAAGCGAAAGUGAUAAGUAUCCCACCUGGGGAGUACGUUCGCAAGAAUGAAACUCAAAGGAAUUGACGGGGGCCCGCACAAGCGGUGGAGCAUGUGGUUUAAUUCGAUGAUACGCGAGGAACCUUACCAGGGCUUAAAUGUAGAUUGACAGAUUUGGAAACAGAUUUUUUUUCGGACAAUUUACAAGGUGCUGCAUGGUUGUCGUCAGCUCGUGCCGUGAGGUGUCAGGUUAAGUCCUAUAACGAGCGCAACCCCUAUUGUUAGUUACCAGCGCGUUAAGGCGGGGACUCUAGCAAGACUGCCGGUGCAAACCGUGAGGAAGGUGGGGAGGACGUCAAAUCAUCACGGCCCUUACGUCCUGGGUUACACACGUGCUACAAUGGCAAGUACAGAAAGCAGCUACCUGGCAACAGGAUGUGAAUCUCCAAAGCUUGUCUCAGUUCGGAUUGGAGUUUGCAACUCGACUUUAUGAAGCUGGAAUCGCUAGUAAUUGGAUAUCAGCCAUGAUCCGGUGAAUACGUUCCCGGGCCUUGUACACACCGCCCGUCAAGCCAUGGAAGCUGGGGGUACCUAAGUCAGCUCCGCAAGCAGCCCUUAUGGUUCCCCCCGGGGGCCCCGGAUAUUUUC
rnacentral:rRNA from 1 species